GCGAAGGUGGCGGAACUGGCAGACGCGCUAGACUUAGGAUCUAGUGGGAAUCCCCGUGCGGGUUCAACUCCCGCCUUUCGCACCA
rnacentral:tRNA from 1 species